UACGGGGGGGGGCAAGCGUUGUUCGGAAUUACUGGGCGUAAAGAGCUCGUAGGUGGUUUGUCGCGUUGUUCGUGAAAACCUGAGGCUUAACCUUGGGCGUGCGGGCGAUACGGGCAGACUGGAGUACUGCAGGGGAGACUGGAAUUCCUGGUGUGGCGGUGGAAUGCGCAGAUAUCAGGAGGAACACCGGUGGCGAAGGCGGGUCUCUGGGCAGUAACUGACGCUGAGGAGCGAAAGCGUGGGGAGCGAACAGG
rnacentral:rRNA from 1 species